rnacentral:miRNA from 1 species
GGAGAAUUGCUUGAGCCUGGGAGGUGGAGGUUGCAGUGAGCUGAGAUCACGCCACAGGACUCCAGCCUGGGCGACAGAG